UAGGGAAUUUUUCACAAUGAGCGAAAGCUUGAUGGAGCAAUGCCGCGUGAACGAUGAAGGUCUUUAAGAUUGUAAAGUUCUUUUAUUUGGGAAGAAUGGCUUUAGCAGGUAAUGGCUAGAGUUUGACUGUACCAUUUUGAAUAAGUGACGACUAACUAUGUGCCAGCAGUCGCGGUAAUACAUAGGUCGCAAGCGUUAUCCGGAUUUAUUGGGCGUAAAGCAAGCGCAGGCGGAUUGAAAAGUCUGGUGUUAAAGGCAGCUGCUUAACAGUUGUAUGCAUUGGAAACUAUUAAUCUAGAGUGUGGUAGGGAGUUUUGGAAUUUCAUGUGGAGCGGUGAAAUGCGUAGAUAUAUGAAGGAACACCAGUGGCGAAGGCGAAAACUUAGGCCAUUACUGACGCUUAGGCUUGAAAGUGUGGGGAGCAAAUAGGAUUAGAUACCCUAGUAGUCCACACCGUAACGAUAGAUACUGGCUGUCGGGGCGAUCCCCUCGGUAGUGAAGUUAACACAUUAAGUAUCUCGCCUGGGUAGUACAUUCGCAAGAAUG
rnacentral:rRNA from 1 species